rnacentral:rRNA from 1 species
AUGGACGCAAGUCUGAUGGAGCAACGCCGCGUGAGUGAAGAAGGGUUUCGGCUCGUAAAGCUCUGUUGGUAGUGAAGAAAGAUAGAGGUAGUAACUGGCCUUUAUUUGACGGUAAUUACUUAGAAAGUCACGGCUAACUACGUGCCAGCAGCCGCGGUAAUACGUAGGUGGCAAGCGUUGUCCGGAUUUAUUGGGCGUAAAGCGAGUGCAGGCGGUUCAAUAAGUCUGAUGUGAAAGCCUUCGGCUCAACCGGAGAAUUGCAUCAGAAACUGUUGAACUUGAGUGCAGAAGAGGAGAGUGGAACUCUAUGUGUAGCGGUGGAAUGCGUAGAUAUAUGGAAGAACACCAGUGGCGAAGGCGGCUCUCUGGUCUGCAACUGACGCUGAGGCUCGAAAGCAUGGGUAGCGAACAGGAUUAGAUACCCUGGUAGUCCAUGCCGUAAACGAUGAGUGCUAAGUGUUGGGAGGUUUCCGCCUCUCAGUGCUGCAGCUAACGCAUUAAGCACUCCGCCUGGGGAGUACGACCGCAAGGUUGAAACUCAAAGGAAUUGACGGGGGCCCGCACAAGCGGUGGAGCAUGUGGUUUAAUUCGAAGCAACGCGAAGAACCUUACCAGGUCUUGACAUCCAGUGCAAACCUAAGAGAUUAGGUGUUCCCUUCGGG